GACAGAGGUGCCGAGCGUUAGGCGGAAUCACUGGGCUUAAAGCGUGUGUAGGCGGGCGGGCAAGUACCUUGUGAAAUCCCACGGCUCAACCGUGGAACGGCUGGGUAUACUGCCUGUCUUGAGCCAACUAGGGGCGAGCGGAACAGACGGUGGAGCGGUGAAAUGCGUAGAUAUCGCUUGGAACGCCAAAGGUGAAAACAGGUUGCUGGGGUUGUGCCGACGCUGAGACACGAAAGCCAGGGGAGCAAACGGG
rnacentral:rRNA from 1 species